AACGCACGAGACCUGCGGACCUGCGGAGGGAUCAUUAACAAAAUCCCAAUAAAAAACAUGUUGAAUUGAUUGUCAAAAUUCGUGAGACGAAUUCUAAAAUGAAAAGUUGUAAGAAAAUACAUCCUUACACCUUCUCAUAUUUAGACAGUCUCUCGAUAGUUUUGACUACUUCCCCGUAAAUAAAAAAUAUCUAUCUCUUUGCCUUCUCAAUAGUUACAAGAACUUGCUCAAAUUGGAGUA
rnacentral:misc_RNA from 1 species